rnacentral:rRNA from 1 species
UACGUAGGGGGCUAGCGUUGUCCGGAUUUAUUGGGCGUAAAGAGCGUGUAGGCGGCCUGGUAGGUCUGCUGUGAAAACUCGAGGCUCAACCUCGAGAUGUCGGCGGAAACCAUCUGGCUAGAGUUCGGUAGGGGAGUCUGGAAUUCCUGGUGUAGCGGUGAAAUGCGCAGAUAUCAGGAGGAACACCGGUGGCGAAGGCGGGACUCUGGGCCGAUACUGACGCUGAGGAGCGAAAGCGUGGGGAGCGAACAGG